UUCUCUUUCUCCAUGCCUCAUUGAUCUUCUGGACCUGGUAAAUUAUCAGAUUCCUCAUCUUGCAUCCUAGUACACAAUAUGUGUUGGGCAAGGUCAAAGGGUAAGCCUUCUGUAUUACCACGUCUUGGGGCUUUUGACCUAUCUGAAUUAUAGGCAGGUCCUUUUACCCGCGACCUACCCAAAUCCAAGUUGCUGCUUUAGUGGAAGGCUGUGACCGCCUAGACCAAGCUGCACCGUUAACUCCUCAUCUUUUCCCAGCUGAGAUGCUGAGAUGCCAAUGCAACAACUUUACUGAAAGUGUCUCCACCUUAAAGAACUUCGAGCGCCAAGGUCUGACUCAUUCACGGCCAUGAUGACCAAUUUCAGGUGAACAGGAAGAUAACACUGCUACAAUGUUUUCAGAGGAGAGCUGCUUUGGCUGCGAGAUAUAGAACGGCUGCAUAAAAAGCCUAAAUCAGAUAAAGAAACUCGACUAGCAACAGCUAUGUUUGCUUUGCAGGAUGCUUUUUUGAAGAGAAAUAAACAGGUGAAAUAAGGAAGUAAUGACAAAACACAACAGAAACCAAAUAUAGCAACCACGAAGAUGUGACUUCCACAUUACAGAGGGUUUGCAUUCCCAGGAAGUGGCUGGAAAUUUGAAGGUGCAUCACAUACACAUGUGUCAAGAAACAGGAGUUGUGAAGAAUUGUUUAUUUGUAUAUUUUUCACAAAUUCUGUAAGUGUUCUUUGAAUUCUGUAUAAAUGAAUUUUUGUUACUCAAGUAGCUGUAAUGUGGGGAUUGUUUGUAUUCUUGUGAAUAGUUUAUAUGGUGAUUGA